rnacentral:snRNA from 1 species
AGCUUUAUGCAGUGGCAGUAUCAUAGCCAAUGAAUUGAUCUAAGGCAUGAUUAUUGCUAAUUCAA